rnacentral:rRNA from 1 species
UACGUAGGGUGCAAGCGUUGUCCGGAAUUAUUGGGCGUAAAGAGCUCGUAGGCGGCUUGUCGCGUCGGCUGUGAAAACCCGGGGCUCAACCCCGGGCCUGCAGUCGAUACGGGCAGGCUAGAGUCCGGUAGGGAGACUGGAAUUCCUGGUGUAGCGGUGAAAUGCGCAGAUAUCAGGAGGAACACCGGUGGCGAAGGCGGGUCUCUGGGCCGAUACUGACGCUGAGGAGCGAAAGCGUGGGAGCAAACAGG